GGGNGGCAGCAGUGGGGAAUNUUAGACAAUGGGNGNAANCNUGAUCNAGCCAUGCCGCGUGAGUGAUGAAGGCCUUAGGGUCGUAAAGCUCUUUCGCCAGAGAUGAUAAUGACAGUAUCUGGUAAAGAAACCCCGGCUAACUCCGUGCCAGCAGCCGCGGUAAUACGGAGGGGGUUAGCGUUGUUCGGAAUUACUGGGCGUAAAGCGCACGUAGGCGGACUUUUAAGUCAGAGGUGAAAUCCCAGGGCUCAACCCUGGAACUGCCUUUAAUACUGGUAGUCUUGAGUUCGAGAGAGGUGAGUGGAAUUCCGAGUGUAGAGGUGAAAUUCGUAGAUAUUCGGAGGAACACCAGUGGCGAAGGCGGCUCACUGGCUCGAUACUGACGCUGAGGUGCGAAAGUGUGGGGAGCAAACAGGAUUAGAUACCCUGGUAGUCCACNCCGUAAACGAUGAAUGCCAGNCGUCGGGNNGNAUNCNUUUCGGUGUCACACCUAACGGAUUAA
rnacentral:rRNA from 1 species